CACGCCAGUUGGAGCCUGGGACAGACAUUGGUCUCCAGGCGCAGGAAGGAUGUGGCCAAAAUGAUGAGAUGCCAAUUCAAGAUUCGGUUACAGAAAGACUGUGGCUCCUCUCUCUCUCUCUCUUUGAGGGAAGCCAGCUGCCAUGUUGUGACUUUCCUGUGGAGAGACCGAUAUAGCAAGGAACUGAUGUGUCUGAUCGACAGCAGUGUGGAACUGGGUCCUGCUGACAGCCAUGUAAGUGUGCUGAGCAGCUGAUCCUGCUCCAGGCAGGCCUUAAGAUGACUGCAGCUCUGCGGACACCUUGAAUGUAGGCAACUUUGGGAGAGACCUUGAGCCAGAGGAACCCAAAGAAGCUGCACCUGGAUUCCUGACACACAGAAAUGAAUCAUAAACUUUUCCCACUACUCUGAAGAGUUGGACAUAAUGACCAGUAAAAACAGGAUUUUUGUCGGACAUGGCAACCAUUCCAAUAACAAAUACCGAUGAUCCUUUUGUUUCUGUUCACCUAUAAAAAGAAUUGACAGCAUUGCAGCCUUGUAGUUUAGAAGAAAUCCACUAGAAGAAAUCCACUAGAAGAAAGAAGUAAUAAACU